GAAUAGCGUUUAAAAGAGAGGGGAAAAAAAUGUGAAACCGUGGAGCUGAUGUACUCAAGACCGGUUAAUAUUUAUGCUUCACACAGCCUAUAUAUUUCCUGCAUAAUCUGUGAUUGCUAAAGAAUGUAGUAUAGAAAACAAUUUCAAAAUAAAAUGAAAACUUUCAUGGCUUUAAGUCGACCAAUGAACAGGACAUAAAAUGUAUAUGCUGGCUUCUAGUACUUUUCUGAUAUAGAUGCCAAAAUCAAAGCCUCAUGGUACCCUGAACAUAUCAAAUACUUCCUCAUUUCUGUUACUCGGUUAUGCAGCUCUAACUAGAAUGACAUCUUUAGUACGCAUUCUCCACACAUCUGUGGCAUGUCCUCGUUCUGAGGAUGCACUGACCUUUUUCCUCCUCAGAACGAACAUGCCUGCCUAGGUCUGAGGGCUGAGGAGAGAAAAUAGGCCACCCACUGCCCUCGGGGCUUCCCAGUCACAGGACUUGUUGCUCUGUCGGGAACUCACGCCCGGCCUAGAAGAGCUGGGUGCGCUUGGAGCAGGAAGCGCCCAGACCCCACCAGGCCUUCGGCUGCGGAGCCCGGCGCCCACUGGGGUGGGGCAGGCACGGGCGCUCCCUGGGGCUUCCUCGUCCCACCCACGCGGGUCGCCUUUUCCUCGCAGGGUGCAGUGGAGACGUCACCCGCCCGCCCUCGGGCAUCGGUAGCUCCCGCGCCUCUGUCCCAGCACAGAAGAGCCCUCGAGCGCUGGCCUGGUCCCGUCAGGCCCCACCAGGGCCGGAGCAAGGACGGGCGCCGAGUCUCCGAGGCCGGGACCGGGGCUGGGCCGACGAGGUCGCCCAGUCGAGGGUGCCUCGCGUGGGGCUGUGGCGGGCCUUCGCUGACACCUCCUCCUCACGCUGACUUUGCGAAGGGAGAGGAAAUUCACUCUGCGGAGGUGAUUCGCCUUUGAGGAAGAUGGAGAGGAGCAGGGAGAAGCGCCUAGAAACGGCAUUGAUUUAGACAUCAAUCCUGGCCGGCUCCCUCCGCCUCCAGAGCUGCGGGGCCGCGCAGCCCCCUCCCAGGGAAGCGGCAGCACCGACUUCAGGGCCGCCCACCUCGGCGGCCCCGACGCCGGCCCCCACCCGCAGGCCCGGGUCUGCGCGGACGCCGCCGCCUCGAGGCCAACAGGUCUCCCCGGGCCGCAGCGCACCCCCGACCCUCGGAGCUCCGCUUCUUUCGACCGGCCCGGUGCUGGUUCUUCUGGGCCGUGGGCACCGAGUCGUGCUGUUGGAACCACUACGAAACCUCACGCUUACGAACCCCGCGGGCCCGGCACGUUCGCGAGCAAAUUCAAAAUGCCCAAAAGUGACACCGAGGCGAUUUCCCAAUAAUAAAAUGCUCCCCGAAUAAACUCAACGCGCUCUAUGA